rnacentral:rRNA from 1 species
UACAGAGGUCCCGAGCGUUGUUCGGAUUCACUGGGCGUAAAGGGUGCGUAGGUGGCGUGGUAAGUUUGAUGUGAAAGCUCAGGGCUUAACCCUGAAAUGGCAUUGAAUACUACUGUGCUGGAGGUUUGGAGGGGGGACUGGAAUUCUUGGUGUAGCAGUGAAAUGCGUAGAUAUCAAGAGGAACACCAGUGGCGAAGGCGAGUCCCUGGACAACACCUGACACUGAGGCACGAAAGCCAGGGGAGCAAACGGG